rnacentral:rRNA from 1 species
UGAGGAAUUUUGCGCAAUGGGAGCAAUCCUGACGCAGCAACGCCGCGUGGGUGAUGAAGGCCUUCGGGUCGUAAAGCCCUGUCAGGUGGGAAGAAUGUCCCGGGACUGAACAGGUUCCGGGAGUGACGGUACCACCAGAGGAAGCACCGGCUAACUCCGUGCCAGCAGCCGCGGUACUACGGAGGGUGCAAGCGUUAUUCGGAAUUCCUGGGCGUAAAGCGCGUGUAGGCGGUCCUGCAAGUCUGGUGUGAAAGCCCCGGGCUUAACCCGGGAAGUGCAUUGGAAACUGUGGGACUUGAGUACUGGAGAGGAUGGGGGAAUUCCCGGUGUAGAGGUGAAAUUCGUAGAGAUCGGGAGGAAUAUCAGUGGCGAAGGCGCCCAUCUGGACGGUAACUGACGCUGAGACGCGAAAGCGUGGGGAGCAAACA